rnacentral:rRNA from 1 species
AUACGGAGGGGGCUAGCGUUGUUCGGAAUUACUGGGCGUAAAGCGUACGUAGGCGGACUGAUCAGUUGGGGGUGAAAUCCCAGGGCUUAACCCUGGAACUGCCUUCAAUACUGUCAGUCUUGAGAUUGGAAGAGGUGAGUGGAAUUCCCAGUGUAGAGGUGAAAUUCAUAGAUAUUAGGAGGAACACCAGUGGCGAAGGCGGCUCACUGGUCCAAUACUGACGCUGAGGUACGAAAGCGUGGGGAGCAAACAGGAUUAGAAACCCUAGUAGUCC